GCGCUCGCUUUAGCAGCACAUAUACUAAAAUUGGAAAAAUACAGAGAAGAUUAGAAUGGUCCCUGCGCAAAAAUGACAUGCAAAUUCAUGAAGCGUUCAAUAUUUUU
ensembl:snRNA U6 U6 spliceosomal RNA